rnacentral:rRNA from 1 species
AUUGAACGCUGGCGGCAGGCCUAACACAUGCAAGUCGAGCGGAUGAAGGGAGCUUGCUCCUGGAUUCAGCGGCGGACGGGUGAGUAAUGCCUAGGAAUCUGCCUGGUAGUGGGGGAUAACGUCCUGAAACGGGCGCUAAUACCGCAUACGUCCUGAGGGAGAAAGAGGGGGAUCUUCGGACCUCACGCUAUCAGAUGAGCCUAGGUCGGAUUAGCUAGUUGGUGGGGUAAAGGCCUACCAAGGCGACGAUCCGUAACUGGCCUGAGAGGAUGAUCAGUCACACUGGAACUGAGACACGGUCCAGACUCCUACGGGAGGCAGCAGUGGGGAAUAUUGGACAAUGGGCGAAAGCCUGAUCCAGCCAUGCCGCGUGUGUGAAGAAGGUCUUCGGAUUGUAAAGCACUUUAAGUUGGGGGGAAGGGCAGUAAGUUAAUACCUUGCUGUUUUGACGUUACCAACAGAAUAAGCACCGGCUAACUUCGUG